rnacentral:rRNA from 1 species
CCUACGGGAGGCAGCAGUGAGGAAUAUUGGACAAUGGGCGCAAGCCUGAUCCAGCCAUGCCGCGUGCAGGAUGACGGUCCUAUGGAUUGUAAACUGCUUUUGUACAGGAAGAAACACCUCUACGUGUAGAGACUUGACGGUACUGUAAGAAUAAGGAUCGGCUAACUCCGUGCCAGCAGCCGCGGUAAUACGGAGGAUCCAAGCGUUAUCCGGAAUCAUUGGGUUUAAAGGGUCCGUAGGCGGUUUAGUAAGUCAGUGGUGAAAGCCCAUCGCUCAACGGUGGAACGGCCAUUGAUACUGCUAAACUUGAAUUAUUAGGAAGUAACUAGAAUAUGUAGUGUAGCGGUGAAAUGCCUAGAGAUUACAUGGAAUACCAAUUGCGAAGGCAGGUUACUACUAAUAGAUUGACGCUGAUGGACGAAAGCGUGGGUAGCGAACAGGAUUAGAUACCCUGGUAGUCCACGCCGUAAACGAUGGAUACUAGCUGUUGGAAGCAAUUUCAGUGGCUAAGCGAAAGUGAUAAGUAUCCCACCUGGGGAGUACGUUCGCAAGAUGAAACUCAAAGGAAUUGACGGNGNGAGAGAGCGAGACGACGACGAGGGAGGAGG